GACGAACGCUGGCGGCGUGCUUAACACAUGCAAGUCGAACGGGAUCCGGGCUUUCGGGUUUGGUGAGAGUGGCGAACGGGUGAGUAACACGUGAGUAACCUGCCCCCUUCUUUGGGAUAACGUCGGGAAAUCGGCGCUAAUACUGGAUAUUCUUGCUGCAUCGCAUGGUGUGGUUUGGAAAGGGUUUCUGGUGGGGGAUGGGCUCGCGGCCUAUCAGCUUGUUGGUGGGGUGAUGGCCUACCAAGGCUUUGACGGGUAGCCGGCCUGAGAGGGUGUCCGGCCACACUGGGACUGAGACACGGCCCAGACUCCUACGGGAGGCAGCAGUGGGGAAUAUUGCACAAUGGGCGCAAGCCUGAUGCAGCGACGCCGCGUGAGGGAUGACGGCCUUCGGGUUGUAAACCUCUUUCAGUAUGGAACAAGGAUCCUUCUUCUGGGGGGUUUGAGGGUACGUGCAGAAGAAGCGCCGGCUAACUACGUG
rnacentral:rRNA from 1 species